rnacentral:rRNA from 1 species
GACGUAGGGGGCGAGCGUUGUCCGGAUUUAUUGGGCGUAAAGAGCUCGUAGGCGGUUCAGUAAGUCGGAUGUGAAAACUCCAGGCUCAACCUGGAGACGCCAUUCGAUACUGCUGUGGCUAGAGUCCAGUAGGGGAGUGUGGAAUUCCUGGUGUAGCGGUGAAAUGCAUAGAUAUCAGGAGGAACACCAAUUGCGAAGGCAGCUCGCUGGGACGUUACUGACGCUGAGACGCGAAAGCAUGGGGAGCGAACAGG